UACGUAGGGGGCAAGCGUUGUCCGGAAUCAUUGGGCGUAAAGCGCGUGUAGGCGGUUCGGUAAGUCGGCUAUGAAAGGCCAGGGCUCAACCCUGGGAUGCCGGUCGAUACUGCCGGACUAGAGUUCGGAAGAGGCGAGUGGAAUUCCCGGUGUAGCGGUGAAAUGCGCAGAUAUCGGGAGGAACACCAAUGGCGAAGGCAGCUCGCUGGGACGUUACUGACGCUGAGACGCGAAAGCGUGGGGAGCAAACAGG
rnacentral:rRNA from 1 species